UACGUAGGGGGGCGAGCGUUGUCCGGAUUUAUUGGGCGUAAAGAGCGUGUAGGCGGCCAGGUAGGUCUGCUGUGAAAACUCGAGGCUUAACCUCGAGAUGUCGGCGGAAACCAUCUGGCUAGAGUCCGGAAGAGGAGAAUGGAAUUCCCGGUGUAGCGGUGAAAUGCGCAGAUAUCGGGAAGAACACCCGUGGCGAAGGCGGUUCUCUGGGACGGUACUGACGCUGAGACGCGAAAGCGUGGGGAGCGAACAGG
rnacentral:rRNA from 1 species